rnacentral:lncRNA from 1 species
GAAAAUUCAUUUACCACCGGAACAGCGUGAAGAGUUGGUGGCUCCGCUUUUGUAUCCCUUACUCUAACUAAAUGAUAUAUGUAUCCCUUGGAAAUCAUUCUUCUCGCCUUAAAAUAAGAAAUGAAUCUACCUCUUGGCGCGCUAAUUUCACCUUUCCAUUCAAGGACUAAUUCAUUUGGAAAAUGGAAAUAUACCUUUUUCGUACAGCAAUCAAUUGUGGCAUAACAAGACGCCAACCAGUCCAUACCCAUUAUAACAUCAAAAUCUACCAUUUCUAACUCCACACGAUCAGCCAUCGUAUCACGACCACAAACAGUUACUAUGCAGUUUCGGUAAACCCUUCUAGCUACAAUAGAUUCCCCGACUGGUGUGGACACUUCAAAU